UUGCACUAUUGGACACUAAGCCCUUUGGAAAGGCAUUGGUAAUUGAUGGGAAGCUUCAAAGUGCUGAGACAGAUGAAUUCAUCUACCAUGAAUGUCUUGUUCAUCCACCACUCCUUCACCAUCCUAACCCAAAGAAUGUUUUUAUUAUGGGGGGAGGAGAGGGAUCCACUGCAAGGGAAUUGCUCAGGCAUAAUACCAUUGAC